rnacentral:rRNA from 1 species
GCGUUGGGGAUAUGAUCGCUAGCUGAUCACGGGCUUACCUCAGCUCACGGCGCAGUGAAGCGGUAACAGCUCAAAUUUGAAAUCUGGGUCUUUCAGGCUCCGAGUUGUAAUUUGUAGAAGAUGCUUCGGGUGCGGCUCCGGUCUAAGUUCCUUGGAACAGGACGUCAUAGAGGGUGAGAAUCCCGUAUGUGAUCGGUUGCUUGCGCCCAUGUGAAGCUCUUUCGACGAGUCGAGUUGUUUGGGAAUGCAGCUCCAAAUGGGUGGUAUAUUUCAUCUAAAGCUAAAUAUUGGCCAGAGACCGAUAGCGCACAAGUAGAGUGAUCGAAAGAUGAAAAGCACUUUGGAAAGAGAGUUAAACAGUACGUGAAAUUGUUGAAAGGGAAGCGCUUGCAACCAGACUUGCGUGUCGUCGAUCAUCCGGGGUUCUCCCCGGUGCACUCGGCUUCACUCAGGCCAGCAUCGGUUUCGGUGGUUGGAUAAAGGCCUUGGGAAUGUAGCUCCUCUCGGGGAGUGUUAUAGCCCUCGGUGCAAUGCAGCCUACCGGGACCGAGGACCGCGCUUCGGCUAGGAUGCUGGCGUAAUGGUUGUAAGCGACCCGUCUUGAAACACGGACCAAGGAGUCUAACAUCUAUGCGAGUGUUUGGGUGUCAAACCCAUACGCGUAAUGAAAGUGAACGGAGGUGAGAACCCUUAAGGGUGCAUCAUCGACCGAUCCUGAUGUCUUCGGAUGGAUUUGAGUAAGAGCAUAGCUGUUGGGACCCGAAAGAUGGUGAACUAUGCCUGAAUAGGGUGAAGCCAGAGGAAACUCUGGUGGAGGCUCGCAGCGGUUCUGACGUGCAAAUCGAUCGUCAAAUUUGGGUAUAGGGGCGAAAGACUAAUCGAACCAUUAACCUCACUAGGUGGUUAAGAGGGUGCUGAAAAGGCAGCCCUAGUCCCCGUAGCCCGGGGCGACACUUUCAAAUUGUUUCGGGGACCACCCGCUAUAAAUUUCCAAGCUACCGCAGCCGGACGGAAACCGUCAGUCGCCACCAUGGUAUUGACGUCGGGAUGCUAACACGCUUGGCUAAGGAUCCAUCAGGCAGCCGAAAGGUUCCUUAACGGGUUGACCUC